UACGGAGGGUGCAAGCGUUAUCCGGAUUCACUGGGUUUAAAGGGUGCGUAGGCGGGCAGGUAAGUCAGUGGUGAAAUCUCAGAGCCUAACUCUGAAACUGCCGUUGAUACUAUCUGUCUUGAAUAUUGUGGAGGUAAGCGGAAUAUGUCAUGUAGCGGUGAAAUGCUUAGAUAUGACAUAGAACACCUAUUGCGAAGGCAGCUUACUACGCAAUCAUUGACGCUGAGGCACGAAAGCGUGAGGAUCAAACAGG
rnacentral:rRNA from 1 species